AGUCGAACGAUGAGGGUGGUGCUUGCACUGCCUGAUUAGUGGCGAACGGGUGAGUAACACGUGAGUAACCUGCCCCUCACUUCGGAAUAACCUCGGGAAAUCGUGGCUAAUACCGGAUACGAGCUACUGCCGCAUGGUGGUGGUUGGAAAGAUUUAUCGGUGGGGGAUGGACUCGCGGCCUAUCAGUUUGUUGGUGAGGUAAUGGCUCACCAAGGCGAUGACGGGUAGCCGGCCUGAGAGGGCGACCGGCCACACUGGGACUGAGACACGGCCCAGACUCCUACGGGAGGCAGCAGUGGGGAAUAUUGCACAAUGGGCGAAAGCCUGAUGCAGCGACGCCGCGUGGGGGAUGACGGCCUUCGGGUUGUAAACCCCUUUCAGUAGGGAAGAAGCGAGAGUGACGGUACCUGCAGAAGAAGCGCCGGCUAACUACGUGCCAGCAGCCGCGGUAAUACGUAGGGCGCAAGCGUUGUCCGGAAUUAUUGGGCGUAAAGAGCUUGUAGGUGGCUUGUCGCGUCUGCCGUGAAAACCCGAGGCUCAACCUCGGGCGUGCGGUGGGUACGGGCAGGCUAGAGUGUGGUAGGGGAGACUGGAACUCCUGGUGUAGCGGUGAAAUGCGCAGAUAUCAGGAAGAACACCGAUGGCGAAGGCUGGUCUCUGGGCCAUUACUGACACUGAGAAUCGAAAGCAUGGGUAG
rnacentral:rRNA from 1 species